rnacentral:rRNA from 1 species
UACAGAGGUCUCAAGCGUUGUUCGGAUUCAUUGGGCGUAAAGGGUGCGUAGGUGGCGCCGUAAGUCGGGUGUGAAAUUUCGGAGCUUAACUCCGAAACUGCAUUCGAUACUGCGGUGCUUGAGGACUGGAGAGGAGACUGGAAUUUACGGUGUAGCAGUGAAAUGCGUAGAUAUCGUAAGGAAGACCAGUGGCGAAGGCGAGUCUCUGGACAGUUACUGACGCUGAGGCACGAAGGCCAGGGGAGCAAACGGG